AUACAGAUUCCUACCACCAUAACCACUACUAAAAGCAGAAGUGGUCAUAGUGGUUGGAGUAACCCUUUAAAGAUUUAGAAAAUUACAUCGUAAUCCAGUUCCGACUAGGUAAAGCCAGGGCAAGCAUUGCAAAUGAAGUGGAGGAUACCAUUGUUUAAUUUCUCCUCUUCACUAUAUGCUCAGUCUAUGCUGAGUGCCAGGUACAAAGGACAGAGCUUGUAACAAUGACUGAUGACAGGGAGCCAAGAUGGAGGCACUUAUUUGCAGGAUAAAGAGGUGUGG